GAAAACCCUGCUCAGAUGGUCUCCAUGGAAUGUCAGAGAAACAACCUUCAGAAAAGAGAAGAAGAGCUACAGAGACAGCAGAAGGAAACAUUUUCUCUGACACAGAAAAAAGACAGUCUUCUGGCUGAGCUCCAAGCUUGGGAACAUUUGAUUUACCAGCUUCAGACUGAGCAGUGUAAAAUGAAAUCUGAGCUAGAAAAAUGGAGAGUUAAACUUGGACAGCUGCAGAAUGAACUGGGCACAUCCAGCAAGUUAUAUGGGCAGGCCAAACGUCAGCUGGAAGACCUAAAGACGAUUGUUCAGCAGCACAGGCAGUCUUCAGUGGACAAUCAAAAUGUACCUAUCACUGAAGAAGCCCAGUGGCACGAUGCCUUUGUGACUCUUAAAUGUGAUUUCACAGAACUUGAAAAGAAUCACCUUGAAGCUUUACUACAGCUGAGCCACAAAGUGUAUGUGACAAAAGCUCGCAGCACAGAAAUAUCAAAAGCAACAUCCAAGUUGGAUGAUACCAAAAAGGAACUAGAGGGGGUAUGUGCUGAUCUUGUCAUGGCCAUGCAGGAGCUUGAUUUGGCAAGAGCUGAGAUAUACCACAAAGCAAAGAAACUUGGAACUCAGCAGACGGAAUUGUUAGAAGCUCAGAACUAAUAUUCUGCAUGUUAUGAGGAGGAAUGUCUGAACCAUCUCUUCAGGACCAUCUCUGCACUACAGUGACUACAUCUUGCUGACCAAUUCUGAAACAUUUUUAUUCAGGCAGCUAAAGAAUCAAAACUUCAACAUAGCAGUAACUUACUGGAAUAGUAUAUAACAUCUUACAAAGGACAUAAGCUACAACAAUGCUGAACUUACUGUAUGUGCUAUCAAUAUAUAAUGAUUGCAUAUGUAAAUAUAACAUUAAUCUUCAUUAAUAUUAAAAAAAUU
ensembl:lncRNA